rnacentral:lncRNA from 1 species
ACCCAUUGUAAAUAAAGAGUUUGAUGAUUUUUAGUACAUUUAUAUAGUUGGGCACAUCACCCUAAUACUACUCCUUCAUAGGUGGCCACCCCCUGUUUCUACUCCUGUCUCCGAUGGCCUCCAUUUCUUCCUUUCGGCUCAGUGUUCACAAAAGAGACUGGUCGUGCUCCUGGAAUUAACUCAAGCAAAUCCCUGAAGGUUAUUGAAAUCAUACCCAUGGAAAGUCAACCUUGGAAUGCCCUGGCAAUACCCGGGAGUGGGAUGGGGCAUAAGUGCCAAGUGUGUGAUGAGGUGGGUCUGGGAGAUACUGGGAUCAC